GACAGAGGUGCCAAGCGUUAGGCGGAAUCACUGGGCUUAAAGCGUGUGUAGGCGGACUCGUAAGUACCUUGUGAAAUCCCACGGCUCAACCGUGGAACUGCUUGGUAUACUGCUUGUCUUGAGCCACUUAGGGGCUGUCGGAACAAACGGUGGAGCGGUGAAAUGCGUAGAUAUCGGGAGGAACACCAGUGGCGAAGGCGACUACCUGGCCUGUUCUUGACGCUGAGGCGCGAAAGCUAGGGGAGCAAACGGG
rnacentral:rRNA from 1 species